UACGUAGGCAGCGAGCGUUGUUCGGAAUUACUGGGCGUAAAGAGUGUGUAGGCGGUGUUCCAAGUCUGGUGUGAAAUCUCCCGGCUCAACUGGGAGGGUGCGCCGGAAACUGGAAUGCUAGAGGGUGGGAGAGGUAAGCGGAAUUCCUGGUGUAGCGGUGAAAUGCGUUGAUCUACAGAGGAACACCAAAAAAGGCGAAGGCAGUCAACUAUUCUGUUCCUGACAUUGAGGCAUGAAAGCGUGGGGAGCAAACCGG
rnacentral:rRNA from 1 species